rnacentral:lncRNA from 1 species
GCCGUAAGCUAUGCGACCUUUUUGCAAGUUAUAUGUAGCAAUAGGGAGUUUCUCCAUUACUGAAGUGAGAUCUUAUACUCUUGCCCAAAUGUAUCAUUACUGAAAAUGGGCCUCAUAAUGCACUGUCAAAGAUGGAGAUGGGAACUAGGUUCAUGACUUUUAACAUGAAUGACAAAAUAUCUUGCUCUACUCAAAGGUUAGCAAAUUUAUGGUCACAUUCGUUUAUCGACUAUGACACCCUAGUUUUAUCCUUGAUGGGG